AUUGAACGCUGGCGGCAUGCCUUACACAUGCAAGUCGAACGGCAGCACGGGAGCAAUCCUGGUGGCGAGUGGCGAACGGGUGAGUAAUAUAUCGGAACGUGCCCAGUCGUGGGGGAUAACGCAGCGAAAGCUGUGCUAAUACCGCAUACGAUCUACGGAUGAAAGCGGGGGAUCGCAAGACCUCGCGCGAUUGGAGCGGCCGAUAUCAGAUUAGCUAGUUGGUGGGGUAAAGGCCCACCAAGGCGACGAUCUGUAGCUGGUCUGAGAGGACGACCAGCCACACUGGAACGGAGACACGGUCCAGACUCCUACGGGAGGCAGCAGUGGGGAAUUUUGGACAAUGGGCGCAAGCCUGAUCCAGCAAUGCCGCGUGCAGGAUGAAGGCCUUCGGGUUGUAAACUGCUUUUGUACGGAACGAAACGGCCCUUUCUAAUACAGGGGGCUAAUGACGGUACCGUAAGAAUAAGCACCGGCUAACUACGUGCCAGCCGCCGCAGUAAGAC
rnacentral:rRNA from 1 species